rnacentral:rRNA from 1 species
GAUGAACGCUGGCGGCGUGCCUAAUACAUGCAAGUCGAGCGAACAGACGAGGAGCUUGCUCCUCUGACGUUAGCGGCGGACGGGUGAGUAACACGUGGAUAACCUACCUAUAAGACUGGGAUAACUUCGGGAAACCGGAGCUAAUACCGGAUAAUAUAUUGAACCGCAUGGUUCAAUAGUGAAAGACGGUUUUGCUGUCACUUAUAGAUGGAUCCGCGCCGCAUUAGCUAGUUGGUAAGGUAACGGCUUACCAAGGCAACGAUGCGUAGCCGACCUGAGAGGAUGAUCGGCCACACUGGAACUGGAACACGGUCCAGACUCCUACGGGAGGCAGCAGUAGGGAAUCUUCCGCAAUGGGCGAAAGCUUGACGGAGCAACGCCGCGUGAGUGAUGAAGGUCUUCGGAUCGUAAAACUCUGUUAUUAGGGAAGAACAAAUGUGUAAGUAACUAUGCACGUCUUGACGGUACCUAAUCAGAAAGCCACGGCUAACUACGUG